CCUACGGGAGGCAGCAGUGAGGAAUAUUGGUCAAUGGGCGUAAGCCUGAACCAGCCAAGUCGCGUGAGGGAUGAAGGUUCUACGGAUUGUAAACCUCUUUUAUAAGGGAAUAAAGUGCGGCACGUGUGCCGUUUUGUAUGUACCUUAUGAAUAAGGAUCGGCUAACUCCGUGCCAGCAGCCGCGGUAAUACGGAGGAUCCGAGCGUUCUCCGGAUUUAUUGGGUUUAAAGGGUGCGUAGGCGGGCUUUUAAGUCAGCUGUGAAAGUCUGUGGCUCAACCAUAAAAUUGCCAUUGAAACUGGCAGGCUUGAGUAUGUUUGAGGCAGGCGGAAGGCGUGGUGUAGCGGUGAAAUGCUGAGAUAUCACGCAGAACCCCGAUUGCGAAGGCAGCCUGCCAAGCUAUGACUGACGCUGAUGCACGAAAGUGUGGGGAUCAAACAGGAUUAGAUACCCUUGUAGUC
rnacentral:rRNA from 1 species